CUAUAAAUAUUCUUGCAGGUCUAAUUUUGUAAUAAUCAGGGCAAGCUAAACAUUCACUAUGUUAAGAACAGACCUAAUUUCUUUCCUUAGGUCUGAUUUUAUAAAUGCUGGUGAUAAAC
ensembl:snoRNA SNORA72 Small nucleolar RNA SNORA72